GGUGCUCCACCUUCUGUCCAUCGAUCCAACUGUUGGUCCAGAAUAGUGCUCUACAUCCAUUGCCAAGCUGUACCGUGAUAGAAGCAUUGAAGAAAGCAUGUACCUUGGGCUCGAUCUUGAUAUGAAUCUCACACAAAGCCCUCUCGUUGUCCCUUUUUUGUAGCCAUAACCAUCUUGUCCUUAGGGCAAAGCCUGCAAGUUUGAGGUCUAGUACACCCAAUCCUCCCCAUGUUGUCGGACGACAAAAAAUUGGCCAUGCCAUUGCGUUCUUCCCU
rnacentral:lncRNA from 1 species